UUGGAUGUAUAUGUAGGGUUUUUUAGUGCAAUAGUUUUUUUCUAAAAUUUUAUUCUAAAAAUAAAUCUGUUAAAUUUUUAUUUAUAAAUAUGGUCCUAUGAAAGCAGUGAAUGGUUCACCGUUUUUAAAAGCGGUGAACCAUUCACCGCUUUCUUUCUUUUUCCCACUUCUUUCUAUAUUUCUACGAUGGUAAAAGCGGUGAAUGGUUCACCGCUUUUAUUAUUUUUCUACUCCUAAACAGGAAUUAUGAAUGCGGUGAAUCAUUCACCGCAUUUAAAGGUCUAUUUUUAUAAUUAUUAUUUUAAAAAAAUUAUUUUUACAAUUAUAAAAAUCGAUAGGAUUAUUUAUAAAAAAAAUUCGUAUAUGUACAUCGCAUAUACUUUAUCAUUAAAGUUUAUAAAAGAAAU
rnacentral:lncRNA from 1 species